rnacentral:rRNA from 1 species
UACAGAGGGUGCGAGCGUUAUUCGGAAUUACUGGGCGUAAAGCGCACGUAGGCGGCUUGGUAUGUCGGGUGUGAAAUCCCCGGGCUCAACCUGGGAACUGCAUCCGAAACUGCCUUGCUAGAGUAUGGGAGAGGGAAGUGGAAUUUCCGGUGUAGCGAUGAAAUGCGUAGAUAUCGGAAGGAACAUCAGUGGCGAAGGCGACUUCCUGGACCAAUACUGACGCUCAGGUGCGAAAGCGUGGGGAGCAAACAGG